rnacentral:rRNA from 1 species
AGUGAACGCUGGCGGCGUGCCUAAUACAUGCAAGUCGAACGAUGAAGUCCUAGCUUGCUAGGAUGGAUUAGUGGCGCACGGGUGAGUAAUAUAUAGUUAAUCAGCCCUACACAGAGGAACAACAGUUGGAAACGGCUGCUAAUACCUCAUACUCCUAUUUGACAUAAGUUAAAUAGGGAAAGUCUUUUCGGUGUAGGAUGAGACUAUAUCGUAUCAGCUAGUUGGUAAGGUAAUGGCUUACCAAGGCUAUGACGCGUAACUGGUCUGAGAGGAUGAUCAGUCACAUUGGAACUGAGACACGGUCCAAACUCCUACGGGAGGCAGCAGUAAGGAAUAUUGCGCAAUGGGGGAAACCCUGACGCAGCAACGCCGCGUGGAGGAUGACACUUUUCGGAGCGUAAACUCCUUUUAUCAGGAAAGAAUAAUGACGGUACCUGAUGAAUAAGCACCGGCUAACUCCGUGCCAGCAGCCGCGGUAAUACGGGGGGUGCAAGCGUUACUCGGAAUCACUGGGCGUAAAGGACGCGUAGGCGGAUUAUCAAGUCUUUUGUGAAAUCUAGUGGCUUAACCACUAAACUGCUUAGGAAACUGAUAGUCUAGAGUAGGGGAGAGGUAAA